AUUCUAACCUUUUUCUCAUAUUUCGGACUUUUUUUUCACAAUUAAAAGUUUAUAUCUCACAAUUCCGAUUUUCUUUCUGAAAACUUUACUUCUGGCAAUUCUGACAUUUUUUUCACAACUCUUACAUUUUUCCCGUAAUUUGAAGUUUAUAAAUUGCAAUUCUGACUUUUUUCUUACAAUUGUAAGUUUAUAUAGCUCAAUUCUGACUAUUUUGUUCACAAUUGUGAGUUCAUAUCCUGCAAUUCUGAUUUUCUCACAAUUCUGAUAUUUUUCUUGCAAUUGCGGAUUUACAUAUUGCAAUCCUGACUUUCUCAAACAAUUCUGACUUUUUCCCACAAUUCUGAUUUUCCCACAAUUCUGACAUUUCACGUAAUUUCAAGUUUACAUCUCGCAAGUCUAACUUUUUGCUCAAAGUUGCGAUAUUCCCACAAUUGGGAUUGCAAUGCAAUUGCGAGGAAAAAACUCCAUUUGAUACUUUUUAUUGAGUGGCAGAAUCAGGCUUCCAUAGUAAAGGCCCAUUACACUGCAGGCUGAAGCACAGAAGAAGCAUCUGAAGAUGCUGAAGAUGUCAUUGAGACACAUUUCUGGAUCCGUUGAGGAUACGGAUGAUUGAGUCGAGAGCACAUGGAUUGUUUCCACAUGAUACAGCAUUGAAGUCAAUGUUCUUGGAUGCUGGUUCUCCAUAAGCACAAGAUGAUUCAUCCACCAGUGACUCCUGGCUGUGUUUCUAUUUCUUUCGAUGGAUUCUUACAGUGUUUUUAAUCUCAUGGUCUGUAUGUCGUGCUUUUGUAUCAAAUCAUUAUGGAUUUGAUCAUGGUGCCAUCUUUUUCUCACUUGGAGUUCAGGCACAAGUGACAUUAUGCUCGCCAAAAGACAAGCACACGUUGGUCUCCAUGUUGGAGAUGAUGGACAGUCAUGGGUUCCUGCUUCUGAAAAGAGGAAUAAUUCACCCUCAGAUGAUCAUUCUACCAUUAUUUACUCACAUUGUGAUGCUAUAUUUAGACAAAGAGGAGGAUUUCUGGCAUAUAACAUCAUAAAUAAUGGCAGAAUGAUCCACAUGAACGUGUUUCAGCAUGAGCUGAUCGUACAUUGACUGCACUGAAUGAAGAAGCUCUAUAUGAUGAGAUAUUUAUAUGCUAUUGGUGCUAGAGUGGAGAUGUUGGGGAAUAUUUCCUCAAGCACUUGUUCUCUGGAAUUUGACAUUGUUUUCAUUUACACAUUGUCUUAUACUGAUUAUGAUGAUAAUGUGGUUUGUUUCGUUUGUUUGUCAAGUACAUUUUAGCAAUAAAUGCCUUUGAUUUAAACCACGAUUGAUGGAGUUAUUGACACACAGUAAACCCUGUUUGUCUCAUGCACAUUAAAUGAAUCCCUCAGAGCAAUUAUUAAUCCAGUCACAGCGUAAUAAGAAUUGAUUCCACUAAUUGGAUUCAUUAGUGUUGGACUGAUUACUAAUUGGAGAAGUGCUGUUUAACACCGAGGUCGCUCUGCAGAGAAGCAUCUGCGUUCCAUUGAAAACAACGACUUUUAAUGAAGUGGUUCCACUCAUCUCAUGAAGUGUCACAUCUCUUCUCCCGAACGGAGUGUGGUCUUGUAAUUGGAAAUUUCAAAUCCUACGCAGCAGACUGAAGUAACAAACCAAUUUCCCUCCUGAACGCUGAGAAGAGUCGCUCAAGACGGCUGUCAAAGCCUGACUAUCUAAAUGCAAAUGCAGAUGAUUAUUCCAAGGUUAUUCCAUUCACUCCAGGCCACACCACACUCGAGAUUCCCCCCAGGACACGGGAAGUGGCCACAAUCCCGGGAAACAAUUCAAUGAUAGUCCAACAGCGAUGAAAGAAGGCUGACCCGUCCACACUGAACACUCACUGAACCAAAGUGUAUUCUACAUCAAAUACGGACGAGGAGAGCUGAGAAAUGCUGGAUUUUGACAAAACCAUCACAAUGAUGGCUUCUGGAGAAUACAAGGCGUGUGUUUUUGGGGUAAAAUUUUCUAUGCAGCCCGUAUUUAUAACACAUUAUGAGAGUAUUCUUAAGACGUAAUAGUGAAUGCAUAAUGUAUUAUAUAAAUAUAAAAAAAUG